rnacentral:rRNA from 1 species
CGAACGAAGCCUUCGGGCUUAGUGGCGGACGGGUGAGUAACGCGUGGGAACGUGCCCUUCUCUACGGAAUAGUCCCGGGAAACUGGGUUUAAUACCGUAUACGCCCUUCGGGGGAAAGAUAAUCGGAGAAGGAUCGGCCCGCGUUGGAUUAGGUAGUUGGUGGGGUAAUGGCCUACCAAGCCGACGAUCCAUAGCUGGUUUGAGAGGAUGAUCAGCCACACUGGGACUGAGACACGGCCCAGACUCCUACGGGAGGCAGCAGUGGGGAAUCUUAGACAAUGGGGGAAACCCUGAUCUAGCCAUGCCGCGUGAGUGACGAAGGCCCUAGGGUCGUAAAGCUCUUUCACCAGGGAUGAUAAUGACAGUACCUGGAGAAGAAACCCCGGCUAACUCCGUGCCAGCAGCCGCGGUAAUACGGAGGGGGUUAGCGUUGUUCGGAAUUACUGGGCGUAAAGCGCACGUAGGCGGAUUAGUCAGUCAGAGGUGAAAUCCCAGGGCUCAACCUUGGAACUGCCUUUGAUACUGCUAGUCUUGAGUUCGAGAGAGGUGAGUGGAAUUCCGAGUGUAGAGGUGAAAUUCGUAGAUAUUCGGAGGAACACCAGUGGC